rnacentral:tRNA from 1 species
GGCCCUAUCGUCUAUCGGUUCAGGACACAUCCCUCUCACGGAUGAAAGCGGAGUUCGAUUCUCCGUAGGGUCACCA